UACAGCAUUAUUCAUUUAAAUCUAACAUACAUCAUCUAGGAUCUACAUGAGAACGUCAAUAACGUAAGAUUACAACACACGUCACAUAUAUGCAUUGCACUCUCACUACUACAGUUAUGUGCCGAUGUUACAAGUAUAGAGUUAUAUAAAUGAUAGGAGAUGUAUGUAUGUAUAUAUGAAUGUAUGUACUUACAUAGCUUGAAUUGCAGCCAUAGAACUUGAAGUUUGAUCACAGAAAAAAAUUACAUUUAUCAAUCGACAUCUUUCUCACUAAAUCUCACAGCAUUUAAAGCACAGAAUUAUCCGAUGUAACGACAUGUAACGCUCUUUUGCGAUCAAAAUUAAUUAAUGAACUCGAAAGGAGUAAACUUUACUUGUCUCUAAUUGUAAGCAAAGAACUUGUAACUAGCUAACUAAAUACAUACAUUUAUAUCUACAACUUUUUAAAAAACUAAUGUCUAAAAAUUUAAAAGUAUACUUAUUAUAUAAAUAUUAAAAAAAGAAUUAAAGACCGUCACUUUCGUGAAACUAGUGAAACUAUAGAAUGUGCAAUCGCUAAUUACUAAUUACAUACCGCGAUAUUCGAUUAUGUCAUCGAUAUAAUUUCUCGUGGUCGAUAGAUUGGUGGCGUCUUGGAGAAACGUUAGUUUUACGCGGGAAGUCCAGCGAAACGGAACAUCAUCCAGAUCCCAUUAGGGAACAUUCGUGGCCGUGUGUAAUGUGAUCGGCAGAGUCAGUGUUUGCUACGUAAAGUUAUUUCCAAUAUUUUUCAGAUUAAGAUAGUUCUUAGUGAUCAGUAAAUUGAAUCAGAACUCAUACGCGAGUUUAGAGCCAGUGUUUGUUUGCCGCUUGUAAUUUAAACGAGCAAGUUAAUAGUCUUUUAUUUUUCUUUUUUUACUACACACACACGCGCACGCACACACAUACAGAUAUAUUCUUCUUUUUAAAUACUCUUUUCCAGUAUUAGAAUCACCCCUCCCCUCAAAAGGAUCCAACCUCUUUAAAAACCAAGAACAAUCGGUGCCUUCAUGAUGUUUCCCGGGCUAAGAUAAUACUAAUAACAAUAUUCUUCGCAUCUAGUGCGAGCAUGGCCUGCCUCCAUCUAUGCGUGUGCACAGUGGAUCCGUUCGCUGGUCGGAUGCAAUUACGGAUCGGGGCCGGACCGAGAAAAACGCCCAGUGCAUCGCUUGCCAAUUACUGGAAGGAAAGGCAAGGGAGUCUCCAAUUUGCUACUAACUUCUCUCAACGAAGGGCGGAAGCGGCACGGAAGGGUGUGGCACCAGUUACCGAACGCGAAUUGCACGGAAGCCUUUGCGAAUGUGAACCGAGUGCAACAGUAUUUAUUAAUCUCUCAAAUAGUCACUCUUGAAGAAAUUAAUUGUGUAAAUUGAAGUAAAUCAAUUUGAGCGCGAUAAUAAUAAUCCACAAUGUGUUGAAUUAAAAGUUUGAUUAAAGCACGGUGCAUGAUACGUAGAUUAAGGAUUAAAUUUAUAUUUAACAUACGAAAUGCUCGUUUGAACGCAUUUUUUACUUAAAUUACGCGAAACAUUGCCGGGGGAAACACAAUGUAACAUUUUGACGUGUAACACGAACGUUGAUAACGUUCUGUUACAACGGAAAAUAACAAGCUUUCUUUAUCGCGUAUUUCACGGUAGAAAAUGUGAUCGAUUGGCGUACGUGAUGGUGAAACUGAUACUAAAGAUAGGCACGCGAAGUACAAAUGUCAGAGUAAAUCAAUAAUAUAAAGGAACGUUGCUGCGAAAUACGGAACAAGUACUAUAAUAAAUACACUAGAUCAUAAGAAUUCUAAAAUUAAACAGAACAACGUAUAAAUAGUACGCUUAGACUGAGAUAUUAAACCUACUACAAAAAUGCUAUGUCAAAUAUACAUCCAAUGUUAAAAAUAGAAUUCGAUAAUGUUACAAAUAACCACUAACGUAUACAACAACGUGUAAACGAAAAAACUUUUUGGCCAAGUUAAAAUAAAUUCACCGAAGAAAGUUGCAAA
rnacentral:lncRNA from 1 species